ensembl:rRNA 5S_rRNA 5S ribosomal RNA
GUCUACGGCCAUACCACCCUGAACGCGCCCGAUCUCGUCUGAUCUCGGAAGCUAAGCAGGGUCAGGCCUGGUUAGUACUUGGAUGGGAGGAGCAUCACUUCCUAAACAGAGAAUAAUAAAGAAAGAUGGACU